rnacentral:rRNA from 1 species
UACCAUGCAGUCGAGCGGAGAUGAGGUGCUUGCACCUUAUCUUAGCGGCGGACGGGUGAGUAAUGCUUAGGAAUCUGCCUAUUAGUGGGGGACAACAUUCCGAAAGGAAUGCUAAUACCGCAUACGUCCUACGGGAGAAAGCAGGGGAUCUUCGGACCUUGCGCUAAUAGAUGAGCCUAAGUCGGAUUAGCUAGUUGGUGGGGUAAAGGCCUACCAAGGCGACGAUCUGUAGCGGGUCUGAGAGGAUGAUCCGCCACACUGGGACUGAGACACGGCCCAGACUCCUACGGGAGGCAGCAGUGGGGAAUAUUGGACAAUGGGGGGAACCCUGAUCCAGCCAUGCCGCGUGUGUGAAGAAGGCCUUAUGGUUGUAAAGCACUUUAAGCGAGGAGGAGGCUACUGAGACUAAUACUCUUGGAUAGUGGACGUUACUCGCAGAAUAAGCACCGGCUAACUCUGUGCCAGCAGCCGCGGUAAUACAGAGGGUGCGAGCGUUAAUCGGAUUUACUGGGCGUAAAGCGUGCGUAGGCGGCUUUUUAAGUCGGAUGUGAAAUCCCCGAGCUUAACUUGGGAAUUGCAUUCGAUACUGGGAAGCUAGAGUAUGGGAGAGGAUGGUAGAAUUCCAGGUGUAGCGGUGAAAUGCGUAGAGAUCUGGAGGAAUACCGAUGGCGAAGGCAGCCAUCUGGCCUAAUACUGACGCUGAGGUACGAAAGCAUGGGGAGCAAACAGGAUUAGAUACCCUGGUAGUCCAUGCCGUAAACGAUGUCUACUAGCCGUUGGGGCCUUUGAGGCUUUAGUGGCGCA